rnacentral:rRNA from 1 species
AUAACCUUCCGAAAGGAGGGCUAAUACAGCAUGAGACCACGAGCUCGAAAGAGUCUGAGGUCAAAGUCGGCCUCUUCAUGAAAGCUGACGCUAGGAGAUGAGCCUGCGGCCCAUCACGGUAGUUGGUAGGGUAAUGGCCUACCAAGCCAAAGACGGGUAGCUGGUCUGAGAGGAUGAUCAGCCACACUGGAACUGAGACACGGUCCAG